CCUACGGGUGGCAGCAGUGGGGAAUAUUGCACAAUGGGGGAAACCCUGAUGCAGCGACGCCGCGUGAGUGAGGAAGUAUUUCGGUAUGUAAAGCUCUAUCAGCAGGGAAGAAAAUGACGGUACCUGACUAAGAAGCCCCGGCUAACUCCGUGCCAGCAGCCGCGGUAAUACGUAGGGGGAACGCGUUAUCCGGAUUUACUGGGUGUAAAGGGAGCGGAGACGGCAAGUCAAGUCAGAAGUGAAAGCCCAGGGCUCAACCUUGGGACUGCUUUUGAAACUGAGUAGCUGGAGUGCAGGAGAGGUAAGCGGAAUUCCUAGUGUAGCGGUGAAAUGCGUAGAUAUUAGGAGGAACACCAGUGGCGAAGGCGGCCUGCUGGACUGUGACUGACGUUGAGGACCGAAGGCGUGGGGAGCAAACAGGAUUAGAUACCCCAGUAGUC
rnacentral:rRNA from 1 species